CGGCAGCACGGGUGCUUGCACCUGGUGGCGAGUGGCGAACGGGUGAGUAAUAUAUCGGAACGUACCCUAGAGUGGGGGAUAACGCAGCGAAAGUUGCGCUAAUACCGCAUACGAUCUACGGAUGAAAGUGGGGGAUCGCAAGACCUCAUGCUCAUGGAGCGGCCGAUAUCUGAUUAGCUAGUUGGUGGGGUAAAAGCCUACCAAGGCAUCGAUCAGUAGCUGGUCUGAGAGGACGACCAGCCACACUGGAACUGAGACACGGUCCAGACUCCUACGGGAGGCAGCAGUGGGGAAUUUUGGACAAUGGGCGCAAGCCUGAUCCAGCAAUGCCGCGUGAGUGAAGAAGGCCUUCGGGUUGUAAAGCUCUUUUGUCAGGGAAGAAACGGUGAGGGCUAAUAUCCUUUGCUAAUGACGGUACCUGAAGAAUAAGCACCGGCUAACUACGUGCCAGCAGCCGCGGUAAUACGUAGGGUGCAAGCGUUAAUCGGAAUUACUGGGCGUAAAGCGUGCGCAGGCGGUUAUGUAAGUCAGAUGUGAAAUCCCCGGGCUCAACCUGGGAAUGGCAUUUGAGACUGCAUGGCUAGAGUGUGUCAGAGGGGGGUAGAAUUCCACGUGUAGCAGUGAAAUGCGUAGAGAUGUGGAGGAAUACCGAUGGCGAAGGCAGCCCCCUGGGAUAACACUGACGCUCAUGCACGAAAGCGUGGGGAGCAAACAGGAUUAGAUACCCUGGUAGUCCACGCCCUAAACGAUGUCUACUAGUUGUCGGGACUUAAUUGUCUUGGUAACGCAGCUAACGCGUGAAGUAGACCGCCUGGGGAGUACGGUCGCAAGAUUAAAACUCAAAGGAAUUGACGGGGACCCGCACAAGCGGUGGAUGAUGUGGAUUAAUUCGAUGCAACGCGAAAAACCUUACCUACCCUUGACAUGUACGGAACCUCUGAGAGAUUAGAGGGUGCUCGAAAGAGAGCCGUAACACAGGUGCUGCAUGGCUGUCGUCAGCUCGUGUCGUGAGAUGUUGGGUUAAGUCCCGCAACGAGCGCAACCCUUGUCAUUAGUUGCUACGAAAGGGCACUCUAAUGAGACUGCCGGUGACAAACCGGAGGAAGGUGGGGAUGACGUCAAGUCCUCAUGGCCCUUAUGGGUAGGGCUUCACACGUCAUACAAUGGUACAUACAGAGGGCCGCCAACCCGCGAGGGGGAGCUAAUCCCAGAAAGUGUAUCGUAGUCCGGAUUGUAGUCUGCAACUCGACUACAUGAAGUUGGAAUCGCUAGUAAUCGCGGAUCAGCAUGUCGCGGUGAAUACGUUCCCGGGUCUUGUACACACCGCCCGUCACACCAUGGGAGCGGGUUUCACCAGAAGUAGGUAGCCUAACCGCAA
rnacentral:rRNA from 1 species